rfam:Loxodonta africana unplaced genomic scaffold scaffold_11, whole genome shotgun sequence.
GCCCUGGUGGUGCAAUGGUUAAGCGUCUGGCUGCUAACCAAAAGGUCGGUGGUUCAAACCCACCCAGAGGCU